rnacentral:rRNA from 1 species
GAGGAAUAUUGGUCAAUGGGCGAGAGCCUGAACCAGCCAAGUAGCGUGCAGGAUGACGGCCCUCCGGGUUGUAAACUGCUUUUAGUUGGGAAUAAAAAAAGGGACUUGUCCCUUCUUGUAUGUACCUUCAGAAAAAGGACCGGCUAAUUCCGUGCCAGCAGCCGCGGUAAUACGGAAGGUCCAGGCGUUAUCCGGAUUUAUUGGGUUUAAAGGGAGCGUAGGCUGGAGAUUAAGUGUGUUGUGAAAUGUAGACGCUCAACGUCUGAAUUGCAGCGCAUACUGGUUUCCUUGAGUACGCACAACGUUGGCGGAAUUCGUCGUGUAGCGGUGAAAUGCUUAGAUAUGACGAAGAACUCCGAUUGCGAAGGCAGCUGACGGGAGCGCAACUGACGCUUAAGCUCGAAGGUGCGGGUAUCAAACAGGAUUAGAUACCCUGGUAGUCCGCACAGUAAACGAUGGAUGCCCGCUGUUGGUACCUGGUAUCAGCGGCUAAGCGAAAGCAUUAAGCAUCCCACCUGGGGAGUACGCCGGCAACGGUG